rnacentral:rRNA from 1 species
UACGUAGGGUGCGAGCGUUGUCCGGAAUUACUGGGCGUAAAGAGCUCGUAGGUGGUUUGUCGCGUUGUUCGUGAAAACCUGAGGCUUAACCUUGGGCGUGCGGGCGAUACGGGCAGACUGGAGUACUGCAGGGGGAGACUGGAAUUCCUGGUGUAGCGGUGGAAUGCGCAGAGUAUCAGGAGGAACACCGGUGGCGAAGGCGGGUCUCUGGGCCGAUGACUGACACUGAGGAGCGAAAGCGUGGGGAGCGAA